AUGUUAAUACUUAUAACACACGACGACGUUAACACUUCAGGACUGAAAGUUUCUGCUACAGCAGCUUCAUCCACAGCUACCAUGACUUUAAUCCUCGUCUUCAUCUGCGCUCUGAUCCUCUGGACUCAAGAAUCUAGAGGUCAAGUAACUGUGACUCAAAGUCCUGCAGUGAAAUCUGCUCUACCAGGAGAAACAGUCACCAUCACCUGUAAAACCAGUUCUGAUGUUUAUUACCACAGCUCAUAUGGUCACUACUUACACUGGUACCAGCAGAAACCUGGAGAAGCUCCUAAACUUCUGAUUAAAUUAGCAAAUCAGGCUCUGUCAGGAAUUCCAGCUCGUUUCAGUGGUAGUGGAUCUCAUUCUGAUUUCACUCUGACCAUUAAAGACGUCCAGAGUGAAGAUGCAGGAGAUUAUUACUGCCAGAGUUACCAUAGUGGUUAUGUGUUCACACAGUGUUAG